rnacentral:rRNA from 1 species
CCUACGGGAGGCAGCAGUGGGGAAUAUUGGACAAUGGGCGCAGGCCUGAUCCAGCCAUGCCGCGUGUGUGAAGAAGGCCUUCGGGUUGUAAAGCACUUUUAUCCGGAAAGAAAAGCUUUGGGUUAAUACCCUGAAGUCAUGACGGUACCGGAAGAAUAAGCACCGGCUAACUUCGUGCCAGCAGCCGCGGUAAUACGAAGGGUGCAAGCGUUACUCGGAAUUACUGGGCGUAAAGCGUGCGUAGGUGGUUUGUUAAGUCUGAUGUGAAAGCCCUAGGCUCAACCUGGGAAUUGCAUUGGAUACUGGCAGGCUAGAGUGCGGUAGAGGAUAGUGGAAUUCCCGGUGUAGCAGUGAAAUGCGUAGAGAUCGGGAGGAACAUCUGUGGCGAAGGCGACUAUCUGGGCCAGCACUGACACUGAGGCACGAAAGCGUGGGGAGCAAACAGGAUUAGAUACCCUGGUAGUCCACGACCCUAACGACUAGCGACUGAUGUUGGUGCACUAGCACNCAUAUCGAGCUAACGACGUUAAGUUCGUCCGCCGUCGGGAGGUACGGUCGCGAGACGUAGAAACGUACAAAUAGAAGUUAGUACGGACGUGAGGACGUUGGCCGACGGGACGACCGACCGACGGGGAGGGUAGGGGAG